rnacentral:misc_RNA from 1 species
GUGGGUUCCCUUUGCCUCUUAUACCGGAGUAGGCGGCUAGGAGCAUAGAAAAUAGAUUUCACAUUCGACAAAUUUAGAUUUGAUAAAAUAAGGUUAAAAUUGUAGAGUUUGAGAUUGGUGACUUGGUCUUAAUUCAAACGAAGAAAGAAAUCAAACAAGCUAGCUUAUCCUAAAUACAAGGGACCGCUUAAAGUUGUAGAAUUGCUUGAAGGCGAUCGCUAUCUAUUAAAAUAGUUGUCUGGUAAUAGAACCUAUAAGUUUGCUUAAGAUCGCUUACGAAAGAUUCCUCUUACUGAUGUACUUGCUGAGCUAGAUUUGUUUAAUAUGGAUGAUGGUGAUGCGGGAACCACUACUAGUAUAUAGAGCACAUACCAUGGCUAUUUGGACACUAUUGUUGUGUCGGUCACGUAUUGACCUGAGACUCGUAGAGUCUAGAUAAAGUGUUGAUCGUAUCACAUGAGGUGAUGACGAUAUGGGUGGCAAUAGUAGUUGUCACUAGCUGGUGAGCCAGCCGGGCCAUGAGCGUUGUAUGUGAUCUUACUGUAUCAAUGAUAAAACUUUAUUUUUUAAUGACAGUUAGAGGAACCUUUCGUCUGUGAACGAGUAAGAUAUAUU